rnacentral:rRNA from 1 species
AACGAACGCUGGCGGCAUGCCUAACACAUGCAAGUCGAACGAGACCUUCGGGUCUAGUGGCGCACGGGUGCAUAACGCGUGGGAACCUGCCCUUAGGUUCGGAAUAACUCCCCGAAAGGGGUGCUAAUACCGGAUAAUGUCUUCGGACCAAAGAUUUAUCGCCUUUGGAUGGGCCCGCGUUGGAUUAGCUAGUUGGUAGGGUAAAAGCCUACCAAGGCGACGAUCCAUAGCUGGUCAGAGAGGAUGAUCAGCCACACUGGGACUGAGACACGGCCCAGACUCCUACGGGAGGCAGCAGUGGGGGAUAUUGGACAAUGGGCGAAAGCCUGAUCCAGCAAUGCCGCGUGAGUGAUGAAGGCCUUAGGGUUGUAAAGCUCUUUUACCCGGGAUGAUAAUGACAGUACCGGGAGAAUAAGCUCCGGCUAACUCCGUG